rnacentral:rRNA from 1 species
CGGACGAGAAGCUUGCUUCUCUGAUGUUAGCGGCGGACGGGUGAGUAACACGUGGAUAACCUACCUAUAAGACUGGGAUAACUUCGGGAAACCGGAGCUAAUACCGGAUAAUAUUUUGAACCGCAUGGUUCAAAAGUGAAAGACGGUCUUGCUGUCACUUAUAGAUGGAUCCGCGCUGCAUUAGCUAGUUGGUAAGGUAACGGCUUACCAAGGCAACGAUGCAUAGCCGACCUGAGAGGGUGAUCGGCCACACUGGAACUGAGACACGGUCCAGACUCCUACGGGAGGCAGCAGUAGGGAAUCUUCCGCAAUGGGCGAAAGCCUGACGGAGCAACGCCGCGUGAGUGAUGAAGGUCUUCGGAUCGUAAAACUCUGUUAUUAGGGAAGAACAUAUGUGUAAGUAACUGUGCACAUCUUGACGGUACCUAAUCAGAAAGCCACGGCUAACUACGUGCCAGCAGCCGCGGUAAUACGUAGGUGGCAAGCGUUAUCCGGAAUUAUUGGGCGUAAAGCGCGCGUAGGCGGUUUUUUAAGUCCGAUGUGAAAGCCCACGGCUCAACCGUGGAGGGUCAUUGGAAACUGGAAAACUUGAGUGCAGAAGAGGAAAGUGGAAUUCCAUGUGUAGCGGUGAAAUGCGCAGAGAUAUGGAGGAACACCAGUGGCGAAGGCGACUUUCUGGUCUGUAACUGACGCUGAUGUGCGAAGG